ACAGCUCGAGACUCCUAUUACAAAACGGAUCUUGAAUUUGAGAAGGCUUUGAAAGGAGACGAUUUUGUUGCUCAGUGGGAUAUAGCAAGAGGAUCAGCAUUCACUAUAGAAAAACAAUCUGAGACCAAAGAAACACUCAAACAACUGAAUCAGCCCAGCUCAUCCUUGGCUACGGAAAAGAUGCAAAGAAAGGAUCUAGCAAGAAGAAUUUCAUUCAAAAAAAAGAGGAAAUUUAGAACAAAUGAGGACGACUCAGAAUCAACACUGGCCAAGAAACAAAGUAUCUUCUCUAUGGAACUGUAUACUAUGCC